AGUGAACGCUGGCGAUAGGCCUAACACAUGCAAGUCGAACGGCAGCACAGUAAGAGCUUGCUCUUACGGGUGGCGAGUGGCGGACGGGUGAGGAAUACAUCGGAAUCUACUUUUUCGUGGGGGAUAACGUAGGGAAACUUACGCUAAUACCGCAUACGACCUACGGGUGAAAGCAGGGGAUCUUCGGACCUUGCGCGAUUGAAUGAGCCGAUGUCGGAUUAGCUAGUUGGCGGGGUAAAGGCCCACCAAGGCGACGAUCCGUAGCUGGUCUGAGAGGAUGAUCAGCCACACUGGAACUGAGACACGGUCCAGACUCCUACGGGAGGCAGCAGUGGGGAGUAUUGGACAAUGGGCGCAAGCCUGAUCCAGCCAUACCGCGUGGGUGAAGAAGGCCUUCGGGUUGUAAAGCCCUUUUGUUGGGAAAGAAAAGCAGCAGGUUAAUACCCCGCUGUUCUGACGGUACCCAAAGAAUAAGCACCGGCUAACUUCGUG
rnacentral:rRNA from 1 species